CUCUCACAGCUUUAAAGGCACAGAACUGGAGGCCCUCAGAGUGAUGAGAGAAAGCCGUGGGGCCACGGAUUGAUGAUGCAUGUGCCUUUGAUGAUGCCUGUCGGGGUGCUGGCUACAUGUCUGGACAUUUCCAAGACUCAACCAUCCCCACGUUCUCUCCUGGCGCCUCCUGCUCAUCCACGCAGAGGCUGCUGCACCCGGGCCCCGAUGGAGCAUGUGGGCGCUGCAAAGGAGCUCCGGGAACCAGCAAGCACCAUCAAAGCACCAGCUACUCCGGAAACGUUCACUCCGCGCCUGCUACCAGCCAGACCUGGGCCCGAAGUCACCCCAGGAAAAUUGGGAAAGAGAGGCGAUGAUGUAAUACAUUGAAAACUAGCAUGAAAGUUCUCCUCCCACAGUGACUGCGACACAGGAGGACCCCGAGCAGGUCUCCCAUGAGGAGCUCUUCCUCGAUCCUGAAUGGUCUCAUUGUAAGGGGGCAUCGCCUCCAAGCAAGAGCCAUAGGAGAUGCUCCUCCGUCGGCGUGGCCGGGGCAGGGGCCGUAGCCCUUCCAGAGUGCACCUGCCUCAAGUACUUGGUGGCUCUGCAUAAUCCCUGAAGUCUCUGGCCUUACACCGUAGAGGGGACCGCCUGGCGGGGUGUCUGGUAUCGUCCCUGGCUGUCCCUAUUGCAAUGCCCACGCCGCGCGGCCCUCAGUACACAGCUGCGGAGAGCCUGCUCGGCUGGACUCUGCGCACAGAGGGAGAGCGACAUGAGCAGGGGACAUGCACAGCAGGUGCCAAGGGAGACCUAGG
rnacentral:lncRNA from 12 species